GAGUGGGCCAGGCGGCCGCGUGCGUUGCACGAGGAAAGUCCGGGCUCCACAGGGCAGGAUGCCAGCUAACGGCUGGGCGGGGCGACCCGACGGACAGUGCCACAGAAAAGAAGACUCCCCCGCUUGUCGGGAGAAAAGCUGAAACGGUGCGGUAAGAGCGCACCAGCGCGUCGGCAACGGCGCGGCUUGGUAAACCCCAUCCGGAGCAAACGCGAAUAGGGAUGCUAUGUGGUGGCCCGCCACGCAUCCGGGUUGCGCGCUCGAGACGGCAGGCGACUGCCGCCCUAGAUAAAUGGCCGUCCCACGACAGAACCCGGCUUACCGGCCCGCUCG
rnacentral:RNase_P_RNA from 1 species